rnacentral:rRNA from 1 species
UACCGAGGGUGCGAGCGUUAAUCGAAAUUACUGGGCGUAAAGCGUGCGUAGACGGUUAUUUAAGUCAGGUGUGAAAGCCCCGGGCUCAACCUGGGAAUUGCAUUUGAGACUGAAUAGCUAGGGUGCGGAAGAGGGAAGCGGAAUUUCCGGUGUAGCGGUGAAAUGCGUAGAUAUCGGAAGGAACACCAGUGGCGAAAGCGGCUUCCUGGUCCAGCACCGACGUUCAGGCACGAAAGCGUGGGGAGCAAACAGG